GAACCACAAUCUAGUAGCCCUGCGUUUGACAAUGUUUCACCGAUUUCGCUGCAACCAUCUUCUUCGGUUUAUUUCAAACAAUUUCGACUGAAGGAAACAGUAGCUGUUGAACUGUUUUUUUCCUCCUAAUGUUAAAACAAUGGUUCGGUGACUUGUAAAUGGUUUCCAUUUAGCUCAAUCACCCCAUUAUUUUCAUGCAACUGAAGCCUUCGUCGCAUAAAGGUUCUGGAGACCUAUUUCCAUGACCACCACUAUCUUUACCGAUUCUGCCUCCGUCAAACCUGGAUGUCCGGCGUUCACCAGUGCUCGACUUGUCCAAUCAUUUCCUCACUAUGAGACAAUCAAGUUAGAUGAAGGCAUAUUGUUCCAUGGCAACAGUAUGUUCGGUUAAUUGUAGACAAAUAUAAGUUGACUGGGUUUCUGGAUGGAACGUUGUUGAUAAACCGUAAGAUAUACAUAUUUUUACCCCAUGCUUGACAUAUUUAUGGAUGAUUUUUCCUUGGUUUUAUUGAAUUCGAUGCUCCUAAUCCUUUAAUUUCAUAUUUUAUACUCAGGAGAGCUUAGGAUAGCAAAAAGAGCAAGAAACGGGCCAAAAACGGACAAAUUGGGCCUAAAUCAGUGUUGCACAUGACCUAGGCACUUCCACACGGAUAAUCCACACACCCGUGUAUGACACACAGGUAGACUACACGCACGUGUCUCAUGGCCGUGUCGACUAAGAACCAACUCAGAAUUGCACACGGCCUGAGCACCUUUACAUGGGCGUGGCACAUGGCCGUGUCUCUGCCGAGCCCAAGCCUAGUUCUAUUAGGAAAAUGGCACUUUUGAGAGUUUUGAAGCAUUACAAAGCCUAUAUAAACACCCUAGAAGAGGAUUAGGGGAGGAAACACAGAGUUGGAGGCAAAAAAUACUCAAGAACAGCCGUCGGAAUCACCUCAGAGCAAGGAUCUACAUCAAGACUAAAGAUUUCCAUCCAAUUUCCUAGAAGUUCUUUGGGUUUCUUUAUGUUUUGUUGUUUUCCAAACUUUGAGAUGUUUUCCAUUAUUAUUAUGAACUAAACUCCCUAAAUACCUAAAGGAGAUGAACCCUAUGAUGAAUCUUAUUACUA